UUAUAAACUAGAUAAACAAUUAAGGGAUUUCCUAAAAGCAAUCCUUAUAGUACUGAGUCUUCUGGAUGGUAAGGAGGACAAGUUCCUUUGGGCUCCAAGCAUCUUCCCCUUAUCAGCCCUUCUCUUCCCAUUAAUUGGUAGGAGUCAGACUUUGCAAUUUUUGUUUUAUUUAGAGUUUACAGUUUAAACUACUGCAAAUGACUCAGACACCUGAUCACGAAAUAGCAUGAAUUUCAGGGCAUAGGAAAAAAAAUGUAAUAGUACAUAAUAGAGCGAUCUGGGAGGACUCAUUAAUUCCCCCCACCCCCUCAAAACCACUUUAAAUGGAUCAGCUGUUAGAAACACUUGGAGCUAACCAUCUUAAAAGACACAACUUUAAAUUUCUCAAAAUUUUUUCCUUGUGAUACCUAGAAACAUACUGUUUAUUUUUUCUUUUACAAAUUAGUAUGGGCUUGGUGCCAUUCUACUGCCAAACAAAAGUACCACCUUAUCAAAGCAAUUGCCUAAAAAUAAAAGCAUGCUGUUUUUGAGACAGACCUGAAUUUAGUAUUUUGCCACUGCACUUAGGAAAUUUACUUUAAAAGGCUUUCUUUGUGGCCUGGGAAAAGAAGUGACGCUAUUGUACCCACCAAAUGGGCAGCUGCGCCACUUUGUGUAGACCAAUGUGGCUCCAUGAAAGGACAUCCUGGGCAGCCAUUGGCCCACAGAUGGCAGCAUCUCCCUCCUGCACAUACCCCCUAAUUAAAGCUUGGGUUUUGGUGGAAACUGCUGUAUCAUAAUGCAAUAUGGACUACCUUUUUUUAUGAUUGGUAACUAAAUGCCUCCAUUUUUAGACUAGAUGAAACAAAAUGCUCUUUGUGGUUUUCCUAUUUUGAAGUAUUCAGAAAAUUUCUUUUGCUGGCACCAUCUAUAACUUUUAAAUAGAGCUACUCACUGUGAUUCCACGGGAUCUCUGGGUUUUCAGUGGUUUUCCUUAGCUUGGGUGCUCAUCGGAAUGCCCUAGGGAAUUUUAGAAAGCCUGUUUUCAGGCCUCAUGUAUAUCUACCCUGGAAUCCUUCAGAGCAGGGCCCAGAGAUCUAUACUUGAUAGAGCUCUCCAAGGACUGAUGAUGAUCAUCCAGGUUUGGUAACCACUAUCAUAAUGUGUUUCCUAAACAGUUCUUCCACCUUUCAUAGCUCUCCCGCCGUGCACAACGAUGAUGUCUGUCUUUUUCUUCCAGGUUAAAUGUUUUCUUAGUUUUACCUGCCUUUAUACAUUUUCUUGGAAGCUACCUCAAGGACUUUGGUAAUGGAAGUCAUGGUAAACUGUCAACUACCCGUAUAGUAUUAUUUUUAUAAAGUGGAAAUACAUUUUAGCAAUCAUAUUGCUAUAAUCCUGUUUUAUGAUGUGUUCUUACAACUGUAGACAACUGGCAAAGUUUAUAGUAACUGUAAUAAUUUGAAAAAGUAACAACAGCAAUAUGCAUGAAGCAUUACUCUGUGCCACGGAUUUUCCAUACCUUAUCUCAUUUAAUGAAGGGAUCCAAAUAAUGUGCUCACUAGUGAAAUCUUCUGUCAGCAAGGCUCCGAGAAAUUGAGAUUUUCUUACAGCCCAAGAGGAUGAACAAUAAACUACCACAAAACCUGUUGCUUGGAAAAUAUAAAGCAAUGUGGCUUCUCAACUAAGAUAACAUCGAUUUUUAUUUUGAACCAGUUUUUCCACACAAGAAACCCUAUGAUAAUCACUGCUGCAAGAACAUGCCCCUUUUCCACCAACAAAAGUCUGGGGAUAUAUUAUUAAAGGUGUCUACCUAAGAGGGAGAAGGAGGCCUUCACACAAUUUAUCUUUCUGUGACUUUCCAUUUCUCUUUUUAUGUGUUCUCCUUUCCUCCUCUCACAAACCCCUCCUAAAGUCUUUGGUCUUUAUCCUUUUUAAGUACAAUAAAUUACAUAAAAAAGAACAAAGGAGGCACUUUAAUAUGGAAAGAACUACUUGCAAUCAUUAUACUAUACAAAAAGGGACUCAAAAUCUUCAACUAAAGAUGAGUUUUAAUUGAUGUUAGUUCUGUUACAAUGAGCUGACAGAGAGCUAUUAAAACUCUAAUGACAUCUGACAAACGUGCCAUAGGAGAGUUAUUCUUCAGUAGUUGGAAAUAUGGUAUUAGCUCAGCAGUACCCAGGUAAGUGAGGACAUGUCUAAGAACUAGUAUACUUGUAUUCAUCUCACAGACACCAGCACCUACUAAAGUGCUAGUUCCUGAGGGUACGAACAGGAGAGGUUUCUUGCCUGUGAGGCUCACAACUGGCCAUAGCAGAUGCCACUGUCACAGAUGAUUAUAAUAUGUUAAGUCCCACAAAGUUUGAUAAAAACUGUGCUGAGUAGAGUAGGGUGGGGAGCCAUGAUAGACAAGUGGGAUUUAACAGAACUGCUGGAAUUGGUGAGGUAAUUCCAGGAAGAGGGUCCUGCGUGAGCCCAGCAAAGUGCUUGGUGUUCUGCUGCCUCAGGAGAGGAAUGGUUAUGCAGAGAACAAGGGGCAUGUACCCACAUGUACUCUCUGCACGCAGAGGAUGGGGUUGAGCCAGAGGUGAGGCUAGAAGGGCAUGCUCUCCAUGUGGAAGAACGUCAUGGGUACACUGGACCUGUGUUGAAAAUUAUCCAGAGAGGUUCACUUUUUAAGUACCCAGAGCACCUCGUUCAGCAUCUCAUCUAUAUGACAAUUCUAUAAGGAUCACCCAGAGCCUCACUGCGGCAAGGUUCGAGUGUCUGAUUUAAAAAUAAUGCUCUUGAAGUUUCAUCUAUUAAGAAUUUAUACCAUGUGAGCCAUUCAAUGAAGAGAGAAAGCUUAUUAAAAAAUGCAAUAUUAAAAAAAUACAAUAUUAAACUUAAAAGUACUUAAAGUCUAAAACACAUUUCUAUUACAAUAUGCCUACACAGUAAUAUAUGACCAAAAUGUAAUCUAUAAAAAUUCAUAAUACAUAAUCAGAUACUAGCUUUUGAAAGUUAGUUCUCAGGAUAUAAACCCUAGUUAGGGAAAGAUAGUUUUAGAAAUAAGGAUAUGGGAGCACCUGUGUGGUUCAGUAGUUGAGCUUCUGCCUUGGGCUCUGGUCGUGAUCCCGGGUUCCUGGGAUUGAGUCCCUCAUCAAGGCUCCCCACAGGGUGCCUGCUUCUCCCUCUGCCUAUGUCUCUACAUCUCUCAUGAAUAAAUAAAACAAAAUCUUAAAAAAAUAAAUAAGGAUAUACUUCUAGCUAAGAAAUACUUCUAUUUGAGAUUGCACUACUUUUUGAGUCAUUGUCACAAUCUAGUUAUAGGCAUAAAGUCAGUUUUCUAGAUUUCUCUGAGUUUAUGGGCGUCUUAUUAUUCUUCAACUUCCAUGGAGAAUUCUCACAAAACUAAUAUAAGAGCUGUGUAAUUAAAAAAAAAAGUUCAUCCUUUUCUUUUUUGAAAUAUGGAAUUUCAGCUUAUUUGGCAGCAGCCAUGAGUCCCAAGUUUAAUGACAACUGAUAAAAUGUUUUUUCCCUCAUUUUAAAUUUAUUGUAAAAUAAUAAGAACUAUGUUGGUAUGGACAACAUUUUUCACUGUGAAUGUUUUUAAAUUUUCAAUAUUUUAUAUAUGCUGUGUGUCAUUUGAA